rnacentral:rRNA from 1 species
GUAGGUGGCAAGCGUUGUCCGGAAUUAUUGGGCGUAAAGCGCGCGCAGGCGGUUCUUUAAGUCUGAUGUGAAAGCCCACGGCUCAACCGUGGAGGGUCAUUGGAAACUGGAGAACUUGAGUACAGAAGAGGAAAGCGGAAUUCCACGUGUAGCGGUGAAAUGCGUAGAGAUGUGGAGGAACACCAGUGGCGAAGGCGGCUUUCUGGUCUGUAACUGACGCUGAGGCGCGAAAGCGUGGGGAGCAAACAGGAUUAGAUACCCUGGUAGUCCACGCCGUAAACGAUGAGUGCUAAGUGUUAGGGGGGUUUUCCGCCCCCCUUAGUGCUGCGGCUAACGCAUUAAGCACUCCGCCUGGGGAGUACGGCCGCAAGGCUG